UACGUAGGGUGCGAGCGUUGUCCGGAAUUAUUGGGCGUAAAGGGCUCGUAGGCGGUCUGUUGCGUCGGGAGUGAAAACUCAGGGGCUUAACCCUGAGCCUGCUUCCGAUACGGGCAGACUAGAGGUAUGCAGGGGGAGAACGGAAUUCCUGGUGUAGCGGUGGAAUGCGUAGAGAUCGGGAAGAACAUCAGUGGCGAAGGCGGUCUGCUGGGCCGUUGCUGACGCUGAGGCGCGACAGCGUGGGGAGCAAACAGG
rnacentral:rRNA from 1 species